rnacentral:rRNA from 2 species
GAUGAACGCUGGCGGCGCGCCUAACACAUGCAAGUCGAACGGUUAAAGCACCUUUUAGGUGUGUAUAAAGUGGCGAACGGCUGAGUAACACGUGGGCAACCUGCCCUCCUCUUGGGGAUAGCCUCGGGAAACCGAGGAUAAUACCCGAUACUUCAAUGUGGCCGCAUGACGACAUUGAGAAAGCUUUUGCGGAGAAGGAUGGGCCCGCGGCCUGUUAGCUUGUUGGUGGGGUAGAGGCCUACCAAGGCAAUGAUGGGUAGCUGGGUUGAGAGACCGACCAGCCAGAUUGGGACUGAGACACGGCCCAGACUCCUACGGGAGGCAGCAGUGGGGAAUCUUGCACAAUGGGCGAAAGCCUGAUGCAGCGACGCCGCGUGCGGGACGAAGGCCUUUCGGGUUGUAAACCGCUUUCAGCAGGGACGAGGCGAAAGUGACGGUACCUGCAGAAGAAGCCCCG